AAUUUGUCAAAUGCCUUACAGGCUGUUUUGCCUAUUGAUGGCAGCUGUGGGCAUACAAGCACAACAGACACCUUCUAUAAAUUACCUGAAUGCCUUGGUAACGUUAUUCGUUUGAGUGUCGCUCCUCUUUUUGAAGAGGUUGAUGCUGUCUUCAAUGACACACACAUCAUAAACCUGACGCCUGGCCUUGCUACUCAGUGUGGAUUCAGCUUUAAAUUUGACCCCAUGGGGAAUGCCAUGUUUUUUUUGCAUCUCUUCAACACUGCUUUUCCAAAAACAUGGAUGAUGCCAGGAAACCACAUGACUGAAGACCCUGUGUAUAGAGUGGGAAAAACCUGUAGCUACACCCCCUGGACCUCCUGAGAGAUUCUGUGCGACCGCAACUACAUGGA